ensembl:lncRNA
GCGCAUCGCCCUCCGCGGCCCCACCGGAACCACCGGCACCGCUCACAGCGCCAUGGGGAGGAUGGAGGAUGCGGUUCGGGGAUGGAGGAUGCGGUUCGGGGAUGGGGGACGCGGUUCGGGGAUGGGGGACGCGGUUCGGGGAUGGGGGGAUGCGGUUCGGGGAUGGGGGAUGCGGUUCGGGGAUGGGGGAUGCGGUUCGGGGAUGGGGGAAUGGGGGGGAUGCGGUUCGGGGAUGGGGGAUGAGAUCCGGGGAUGGGGGAUGCGGUCCGGGGAUGGGGGAUGCGGUUCGGGGAUGGGGGAUGCGGUCCGGGGAUGGAGGGGGGGGGGCAGGCGCCGCCCGCAAACCGGCACCGGGCCGCGGGGGGCUGCGGGCCCGGUCAGGCCAUGUCCAUCCCGGGGAGGGGGGGGGGGGCCCGGCCCUGCUUCCUUCCUCCCUCCCUUCUCCGCCUCCUCUUCCCCUUUCUCUGCGCUGCCGAUGGAGCCGCUGCCUGCGAUCCGCCCGCCCCGCUGCCCGCAGAGCCCAAUGGGGCUGAGCGCCGCUCGCUCUUCCUCUUCCUCACCGCCGCACACGGGGACCCCUCCCGCAACACGCCCCUCGUGGCCGGGAGCCCCUCCCGCACCGCACCGGGGUCCGCACACCCGACACCGCCGGUACUGACACCGCCGGUACUGACACCCGGUACUGACACCCCCGGUACUGACACCCGGUGCUGACACCCGGUACUGACACCGCCGGUACUGACACCGCCGGUACUGACACCCGGUGCUGACACCGCCGGUACUGACACCGCCGGUACUGACCCCCCCGGUACUGACACCCCCUGUGCUGACACCGCCGGUACUGACACCCGGUACUGACACCGCCGGUACUGACACCCGGUACUGACACCCCCGGUACUGACACCCCCGGUGCUGACACCCCCGGUACUGACACCGCCGGUACUGACACCCGGUACUGACACCCCCGGUACUGACACCGCCGGUACUGACACCCCCGGUGCUGACACCCCCGGUACUGACACCGCCGGUACUGACACCCGGUGCUGACACCGCCGGUACUGACACCCCCGGUACUGACACCCCCGGUACUGACACCCCCUGUGCUGACACCGCCGGUACUGACACCCGGUACUGACACCGCCGGUACUGACACCCGGUACUGACACCCCCGGUACUGACACCCCCGGUGCUGACACCCCCGGUACUGACACCCCCGGUACUGACACCCCCGGUACUGACACCCGGUACUGACACCGCCGGUACUGACACCGCCGGUACUGACACCCGGUGCUGACACCCCCGGUACUGACACCCGGUGCUGACACCCGGUACUGACACCCCCGGUGCUGACACCCCCGGUACUGACACCCCCGGUACUGACACCCGGUGCUGACACCGCCGGUACUGACACCCCCGGUACUGACACCCCCGGUACUGACACCCGGUACUGACACCCGGUACUGACACCCCCGGUACUGACACCCCCGGGACUGACACCCGGUACUGACACCCCCGGUACUGACACCGCCGGUACUGACACCCCCGGUACUGACACCCCCGUGUCUGUUUUGUCCCCUCAUUCCCAUCCCCGUACUCACGUCUGUACCACAUCUGCACCUACAUCCCCCCAUAUCCUCAUCAUUUUGUCCCCAUGUCCCCCCUCCCAUCCCUGUUUGUACCCACAUCCCCCCCAUCUGUCCCCAUAUCCCCCCAUCCUGUCCCUAUAUGGCCCCCAUGUUUGUAACCACUUCCCCCCCAUCCUAUCCCUGUACCCCCACGUUCCCCCAUCCUGUGCCCCUCCCGUGCCCCCCGCUCCUCUCCCCGUGUCCCCCAUUCAUUGGCACGUCCCCUUGCUCCCACCCCACACCCAAAGGGAGCCUCGUGGCGUCCCCAUAGGGCCCCAUUCACUCCCUGGGGUGCCCCUCGUCCCCCCCAGGGGUGGCAGGAGGGGAAACUGCAAUGGGAAAUGGGGGCUCGGGGCACAGUGGGGCCGUGGGGGGACCCGGAUGUGGGGGGGGAUGUGGGGGUCACCCCCGCACCCCGAGGAUGGGGACGUGCGGGCACCAGGACCCUGCACCCCCCCCCACAUCACCCGGCGCAGCCUCACAGCCUCUGACGUGACGGGUGUGACGUCACAUGUGCGACUUCCACCCCGCCCUGACCAUCCCCUGCUCCCCCCACCUCCCCCCAGCCUGAGCUCCCCCCGCACACGUGCACACACACAUGUACACACACGUACAUGUACACACACGUACACAUACAUACAUGUACACACAUACAUGUGAGCACAUACACGUGUACACACAC